AAUGUGACACACUCGGUAGCUACAUAUACUUCUGCUAUAGACCCUUUAGGCCUUGCUUUAUUGCGCAAAUACUUUUUUAAGAUUCACAAAAAUCUACAAACAAAAAUAAAUUUAAAUUUUAGAAAUGCAUUUACAUCUUAUAAUUGAUAUGACAAAGUACGUAUAAUUUCUUUACCUUUCUAUAGGAUAUAUCCAUCAAUAAUGUAUCGGUCU
rnacentral:lncRNA from 1 species